rnacentral:lncRNA from 1 species
UUUUUUUUUUUUGUUUUUUUUUUUUAAGGGGGGCGAAAAGGGAGAGAGGUAGGGCCUCUUAACGCCCAAAGAAAACUUCAACAAAUUUGAUAUUUCUCCUCACAUUUUUUUAGUAGACAUUUAACAUUUUUCCUCAUAAGUUUCAAUUUUUCUGAAAGACACAUAGUGAUUUGUAUCAAAGGAAUCUUAAAACUAUCAUAAUUUAAAACUUACCAACAUCUUUUAGGAGAGAAGAGAAAGCCCUUGUUAAACUUCUGUGAGAGAUUUUACAUCGAUAUUUUAGUUCUUCGAAUUUGUUAUUUCCAUCUUGUGUCUCUCAUAGAAUUUUAUCCUAAAACAUUAUUUUGUAGUUCGUCUUUUCUUAAGCUUCCUACCAUGUUUCUCUGUGCUAAAUACAGGUAUAAACAUGGAAAUCUGAUGUAUGUUAUUUCCUUUGACCUCAAAUCUAUAUUAAAAAUACUUCUUACAGGUUGUGUUAUAUCUGCGUCUACUUGUACAAAAUCAAUCAAGGCAUAAUAUAGAUAAUAACUUGAAAAACCCUUUAAUAAAUAAUGUAAUGGAAGUAAAUGUGUAAUUUGUCAUUCUUUCUCCUCCAUGAAAUCAUACACAAGACCACCUUGAUUGAUUCAGGUUUUCCAAUUGUUCCCACAAUGGGAAUCCAGAAGGAGAGAGCAUUUUUACACCCCAGGUCAAUGUGCCACAGUCAAAUGAGUCUUAACUUAUCAGAAACAUCUUAAUUUAUCAAGUAGAAGAGUGAGAUUUUUUUCCACAGAAGGUGAGAGUGUGGGACUUGUGUGCCAUGCUUCUACGGCAGACAGAUUCUCAGGCAGAUUUUAGAAAGUUUUUCCUUAGGAAAGGCAAAAUAUGUAAGAUCUAGAAACAGAUUUAGUUCAACUGUUUGAACACAGCUUAACAAUGGAAUUCUUUAUAACAUGCGCCAAGGUUGUUUCCGAUGCCUUGAUCCCUUGGUUACUUGUCCAACACACUUCAGCUGCUCCACUCCGCUUCUCACAAAUAGUUUUUCAAAGAUGAGAAUGGUUUCUUUUCUUUCCUUCUUUUUUCCUGUGUCUUUUUUCUUCCUCCUCCUAGCUCACUCCUUUUCUCGGCCUUUUUUCAGUCCUCUUGAGAACCAGAUGGUUCCAGGAGGGCCCUUCCCACCCCAAGUCUAACUCUUUCCCAAUCUGCCAAGUAUUCAGUCUCUGAACUCGCUUCUUCAAAAGCUUGUCUGGGUUUACCAGAGGAGCUGCAGAGGAAACCCAGGAGCCAGGGGAGCAAAGCCUUGAGGAAACACUUGCUUGAGAUGAACCUAUCAAAAAUCUCUCAGAUUCUCCUUUGCCAGCAAGGAAGCCAGAUUUUCAGAAUUCCACUUCUGAUUGGAUAACAUCUGGAUGCAUUUUGACAGGGACUGGGAGUUCUUGUGUUUGAAAACAGGAUUCUUAUUUUGGGAGCUGGUCUCAGGGAAUAGGCUUUUGGAAGCCUCUGCACACCAAGGCCCCUGUUGUUUGUGACUGCCUCUGUACAGUACCCUCCAGGGAUUGCACUGCUAGAUGCCACAUAAGAACUUCACUCCAAAAACAAAAAACAAACAAAAAAAACUUCACUCCAUACAGAAGUAACUAGAAACUACAAAAAUAUUGCCCACAAAGUCCAAAUUUUAAAUGUCUCCUAUUUAACUUCCCUCCAAAUGUUUGCAGUGCCUCCUCUGAUAGAAAGGGGCAGGGGAAUUCCUAACUCUUUCAUGUCCUCUCUUGCCUUUGGACUUUGAGGUUGCAUUUCCCCUGGAAUUCCUUCCCCUUUUCCUAUUUGCCAGUUCCUACUUGUCCUUUCGAUCUCAGUUCAGAUAUUACACACUACCUCCUUCUGGAAGCUUUUGCUUACUCCUUAGGUCUGGUUUAGAAGCUCCUGGAAUAUACACAGGAUCCUGAGAUUAUUUCAAUCCUAUUAACAGUGUUUAUUACACAUUGUAUUAUAACUAUCUCUUGUGUGAGUUUUUCACUAGCAAGUUCAGGGCUCAGUCCUUAAAUAUCAAUAUAUGCAAGUAUCUUUCCAUCUUGGACUGCAUCUUUAAACUCCAAAUUCACAUAUGCAGCUGCCUUCUCAACAAGUAUUUUAUACUUAACAUUGUCAAAAACUGAAUUCCUGAUCUUUGUCCCAAACUUUCUCACGGAUCUUCCCCAUCUCAAUAAAUAACUGUCCCAUUUGUGCAAUUAUCUGUGAAUCCUUGCUUUGGCUCACAUCGUACAUCUCAUCUAUCAGCUCAACCUUCAAAAUAUAUCUGUAAUCCAGCCAGUUGUAGUACUUUCAUUGUUAUCAUAUAGAAAUCUAUCAUUAUCUCUCAGGUAGAUUAUUGCAAUAGACCCCUCACUGGUCUCCCUGUUUCUAUUAACCUUGCUCCUUUCCUGUCUACUCUAUAAACAAAGGAGUAGUGAAAAAUUCUCCAAGGGUUCAAAAUUCUUCAAGAGUGUCCCUCUUGUUCAGUAAUGUUGGAGGCAUGAAUAUGCGACACGACAAAGAAUGGAAAGAAAAGACUGGCGCCAUAGAGUGGCUGUAGAAGGUCAGUCUAUACAAAGUCUUAUGACUCUCUCAUGACACCUGAGGCGAAAUGAAUGAGAACAACAUCAAAGAAUGGCAUCUGGAAAACAAGAUUGCUGAAGCACAGAUGUUGUUCAUGGAAAACCAUCAGCGCUGACAUUCUCAGGACUGGAGCCUUGGGAGAUUUUUGGGAGCGGCCAUAGAUGGCUUGAAGCAAACAACAAAUUAUGGCCUGGGAGGGCUAAAACAUUUAUGAUUACUUUAUGUGCUUAGGAAUGACUGUCCUACCAUAUCUUGCUUCCAAUCUGUUUGAAGUAAAAUUCCAAUGUAUCCCCUGCAUGUACAAGGAAGUAGAAAAUAGUAAAUAAAAACCAUGAGUUGGCUCAGAGGGUUGCUAUUGCUUCUUGAAGGCUGUAACCCCCGAUCCCCACUCUAUUUCUGUGUCUCUUCCCUCUUAUUUCUGUGGCACCACUGACUUCGGGACCUGGGUUGACGAGCAGGCCUUGUCACAGUAAAAAAGCCAAAGUGCUUCUAGUGGCCUGCAAGAGUCCUCCCCUCCUCUCUAGCUCCUUGCUCUUCCUAAACAAGUCAGACACACUCUACCUCAGUCCUUUGCACACACUGUUUCCUCUGCCUGAUAAUAGCCUUUUCCAAACAGGCACCUAAUUCAUUUCUUCAUAUCCUUCAGGUCUGCUCAAAUAUCACUUUCUCACUUAAGUCUUAUCUGUUCAACAUAUUUAAAAUUACAAAACAUUAAAAAGAAAAAAAACCCCAGCUAUCCCUAUUAUAUUUUCUGCUUUAUUUUUCUUUAUUUAUACUUAUUGCCAUCUACUACACUUAUAUUUUACUUUUUCAUUGGUCUGCAUUUCCCAUUAGAAUGCAAACUCCAUGAAAAUAGACUUUUAUUAGAGUCCCCUUGUGGUGAAGUGGAUUAAAGAUCUGGCAUUGUCACUGCAGUGCUCCGAUUGCUACUGUGGUGCAGGUUUGAUUCCUGGUCCGGGAGCUUCCACAUGCCACAAGUGCAGCCAAAAAAAAAAAAGACAAGAAAAUAAAAUAGAGAGUUUUGCCCAUUUCGUUCACAGAUAUAGUCUCAGUAUCUACAAGAGUGUAUGUCAAACAGCAGCUACUCAUUAACAAUUUGUUGAAUGGUCUACCAGAGUACAAUAAAUGCUUUUCCAUAGGUGGAUGUAUAAGCAAAUUUCAAGAGUUUAACCCUCAGAAGGGAGAGGAAUAGUCUGUUCAUAGGCAAAGAUUCUGGAUUCCAUUAAUAUAGCUCCCUGUUGUGGUUGUGUAUACAAACCUGACUGAGUUGCUAAUGAUAGUCCCUUCAUUUAAUUAUGUGACCCAUCAUGGCUAGUUAAUGUUUGUGCAAAGACUUAAAGCUUGACCCUAUUAGGACCUGAGACUUCUAAUCCUACUUGGAGAGCUGCAGAUGUUCAUCUGUGUAAUCACUAGUUGUUCCACUUUCCAAACCUUCAAAUGUCCUGGAAUAAACCCUGACUCCUGAGCAACUGGAACUAAGAAUGGAUGAAGAUAAACACAUGAGGUCUAAGGUAGUGGGACUCUAAAGAAGAUAUAGUUUCCUGUAAGAGUUCUGAGUAGCACAUUUAAGAAAUUUUAUUUAUCUGGUUGUUUUGUAUUUUGAAAAGGCAUUACACUCAUAGAGUUCAAAAGAAGUAUAAAUAGUUAUAAAAUUAAAGUUCCCCUCCCAUUCUAUUACUCACCUACUUUUAUUCCUACUCUUUUAUCCAUCAUCUACAGGUUUCUACUAUUAUUAAUUUAUUAUUUAUCCUCUGGAGUUUAUCAAUUUGCAUAUAAGUAUAUAUAUUCUGAGUCUUGUUUUUGACACCUCACAAUAUAUUUUGGGAAUCUUUACACAUUGAUAACAUGGAAAGCUGUUGUCUUUGCUUAGUUUUACAUUUUGUUGUGGAAUAAAGCAUGCAGAGAAAUAAAUAAAACCUUAUUUCUACAGCUUAAUGAGUAAUUAUAAAGUGAACACCCAUUUAGCCAUUACUCAGGAAAAAAAAAAAAAAGAGUGGAGUUCCCGUUGUGGUGCAGUGGAAAUGAAUCUGACUAGGAACCAUGCAGGUUUUGAUCCCUGGCCUCGCUCAGUGGGUUAAGGAUCCAGCAUUGCCAUGAGCUGUGGUGUUGGCCAGCAGCUACAGCUCCAAUUAGACCCCUAGCCUGGGAACCUCCAUAUGCUGUGGGUGCAGCCCUAGAAGACAGAAAGG